rnacentral:rRNA from 1 species
AUUGAACGCUGGCGGCAUGCUUUACACAUGCAAGUCGAACGGCAGCGCGGGGCAACCUGGCGGCGAGUGGCGAACGGGUGAGUAAUACAUCGGAACGUACCCAGAAGUGGGGGAUAACGUAGCGAAAGUUACGCUAAUACCGCAUACGUUCUACGGAAGAAAAUGGGGGAUCUUCGGACCUCAUGCUUUUGGAGCGGCCGAUGUCUGAUUAGCUAGUUGGUGAGGUAAAGGCUAACCAAGGGGACGAUCAGUAGCUGGUCUGAGAGGACGACCAGCCACACUGGGACUGAGACACGGCCCAGACUCCUACGGGAGGCAGCAGUGGGGAAUUUUGGACAAUGGGCGCAAGCCUGAUCCAGCAAUGCCGCGUGAGUGAAGAAGGCCUUCGGGUUGUAAAGCUCUUUUGUCAGGGAAGAAACGGCCGAGGCUAAUACCUUUGGCUAAUGACGGUACCUGAAGAAUAAGCACCGGCUAACUACGUGCCAGCCGCCGCCGUAAGAC